rfam:Procavia capensis cont1.225306, whole genome shotgun sequence.
UGAGUAGACCUGUCCGUGGCCUUCAGAAUGAGACCCUUUAUGCGGUACUCAGGCCAUUAAAGAGAAAAUUGUCUUCACUUUGAAUACUGAAAGCAAGGA